UUAAGUGACUAAGCGUACACGGUGGAUGCCUGGGCAGUCAGAGGCGAUGAAGGACGUACUAACUUGCGAUAAGCGCAGAUAAGGCAGUAAGAGCCGUUUGAGUCUGCGAUUUCCGAAUGGGGAAACCCAACUGCAUAAGCAGUUACUGUUAACUGAAUACAUAGGUUAACAGAGCAAACCGGGGGAACUGAAACAUCUAAGUACCCCGAGGAGAAGAAAUCAACCGAGAUUCCGGUAGUAGCGGCGAGCGAACCUGGAUUAGCCCUUAAGCACUCGGUGAAGUAGGUGAACAAGCUGGAAAGCUUGGCGAUACAGGGUGAUAGCCCCGUAACCGACGCUUCAUCGAGCGUGAAAUCGAGUAGGGCGGGACACGUGAUAUCCUGUCUGAAUAUGGGGGGACCAUCCUCCAAGGCUAAAUACUCCUGACUGACCGAUAGUGAACCAGUACCGUGAGGGAAAGGCGAAAAGAACCCCUGUGAGGGGAGUGAAAUAGAACCUGAAACCGUGUACGUACAAGCAGUAGGAGCACCUUCGUGGUGUGACUGCGUACCUUUUGUAUAAUGGGUCAGCGACUUAUAUUCAGUGGCAAGGUUAACCGUAUAGGGGAGCCGUAGCGAAAGCGAGUCUUAACUGGGCGCUCAGUCUCUGGAUAUAGACCCGAAACCGGGUGAUCUAGCCAUGGGCAGGUUGAAGGUUGAGUAACAUCAACUGGAGGACCGAACCGACUAAUGUUGAAAAAUUAGCGGAUGACUUGUGGCUAGGGGUGAAAGGCCAAUCAAACUCGGAGAUAGCUGGUUCUCCCCGAAAGCUAUUUAGGUAGCGCCUCGGACGAAUACUACUGGGGGUAGAGCACUGUUAAGGCUAGGGGGUCGAUCCCGACUUACCAACCCUUUGCAAACUCCGAAUACCAGUAAGUACUAUCCGGGAGACACACGGCGGGUGCUAACGUCCGUCGUGGAGAGGGAAACAACCCAGACCGCCAGCUAAGGUCCCAAAGUAUUGCUAAGUGGGAAACGAUGUGGGAAGGCUCAGACAGCUAGGAUGUUGGCUUAGAAGCAGCCAUCAUUUAAAGAAAGCGUAAUAGCUCACUAGUCGAGUCGGCCUGCGCGGAAGAUGUAACGGGGCUAAGCAAUACACCGAAGCUGCGGCAAUAUCUUUUAGAUAUUGGGUAGGGGAGCGUUCUGUAAGCCGUUGAAGGUGAAUCGUAAGGUUUGCUGGAGGUAUCAGAAGUGCGAAUGCUGACAUGAGUAACGACAAAGGGGGUGAAAAACCUCCUCGCCGGAAGACCAAGGGUUCCUGUCCAACGUUAAUCGGGGCAGGGUGAGUCGACCCCUAAGGUGAGGCCGAAAGGCGUAAUCGAUGGGAAACGGGUUAAUAUUCCCGUACUUCUGACUAUUGCGAUGGGGGGACGGAGAAGGCUAGGUGGGCCAGGCGACGGUUGUCCUGGUUCAAGUGCGUAGGCUUGAGAGUUAGGUAAAUCCGGCUCUCUCUAAGGCUGAGACACGACGUCGAGCUGCUACGGCAGUGAAGUCAUUGAUGCCAUGCUUCCAGGAAAAGCCUCUAAGCUUCAGAUAGUCAGGAAUCGUACCCCAAACCGACACAGGUGGUCGGGUAGAGAAUACCAAGGCGCUUGAGAGAACUCGGGUGAAGGAACUAGGCAAAAUGGUACCGUAACUUCGGGAGAAGGUACGCUCUUGAUGGUGAAGUCCCUCGCGGAUGGAGCUGACGAGAGUCGCAGAUACCAGGUGGCUGCAACUGUUUAUUAAAAACACAGCACUGUGCAAAAUCGCAAGAUGACGUAUACGGUGUGACGCCUGCCCGGUGCCGGAAGGUUAAUUGAUGGGGUUAGCGCAAGCGAAGCUCUUGAUCGAAGCCCCGGUAAACGGCGGCCGUAACUAUAACGGUCCUAAGGUAGCGAAAUUCCUUGUCGGGUAAGUUCCGACCUGCACGAAUGGCGUAAUGAUGGCCACGCUGUCUCCACCCGAGACUCAGUGAAAUUGAAAUCGCUGUGAAGAUGCAGUGUACCCGCGGCUAGACGGAAAGACCCCGUGAACCUUUACUACAGCUUGGCACUGAACAUUGAACCUACAUGUGUAGGAUAGGUGGGAGGCUAUGAAGACGUGACGCCAGUUGCGUUGGAGCCGUCCUUGAAAUACCACCCUUGUAUGUUUGAUGUUCUAACUUAGACCCAUUAUCUGGGUUGAGGACAGUGCCUGGUGGGUAGUUUGACUGG
rnacentral:rRNA from 1 species